ACAUAGAUUUUGAGAAAAUUUCAAAAAUAUAACAAUAUUGUUUUAAUGCAUAUUUGCAUCCUUUACUAACAUAUAAUGAUGUUCAAAGAGGUUUGGAGCAUUUCUUGUCUCCGUUUUUCAAGAAAAUAACGAUCUUAUAGUUAAUUAUUCCACUCACUUCGAGAGUAUUAUGAAGUUUUACUAAAUUAAUCGAUAGAAAAAUUAUAACGAUUCUCAUAUACCAUGAAAGAGAGUUUAACAUACAUUAAUACAAAUGUAGAAUGUGGUUAUAAAUUUUAAAACAACACUAAAGAUAUAGGUUUCAAUAUAUAAAGUAUUUACCAAAAACUCAAUAUUUUUAUAGGGGGUUAACACAAAGAUUUUGAGAGAAUUUCAAAAAAUAUGACAAUAUUUUUUUAAUGCAUAGUUGCAUUCUUCACUAACAUAUAAUGAUGUUAAAAGAUGUUUGGAGUCUUUGUUGUCUUCGUUUUUCAAGAAAAUAGCGAUUUUCUAGUGUUUAUUCCACCGAUCUUGAGAGUAUUAUGAAGUUUUGCUAAAUUAAUGAUAAAAAAAUUAUAAUGAUUUUCAUAUACCAUGAAAGAGAGUUUAACAUACAUUAAUACAAAUGUAGAAUGUGGUUAUAAAUUUCAAAACAACACUAAAAAUUUUAGGCUUCAAUAUAUAAAGAAUUUAACAAUAUGACAAUAUUGUUUUACUGCAUAGUUGCAUCCUGCACUAACAUAUAAUGAUGCUCAAAGUGAAUUGGAGCCUUUUUUGUCUCCAUUUUUAAAGAAAAUAGCGAUUUUAUAGUGGUUAUUCCACCGAUUUUUGGAGUAUUAUGAAGUUUUACUAAAUUAAUUGAUAAAAAAUUAUAAAGAUUCUCAUAUAUCAUGAAAGAGAGUUUAACAUACAUUAAUACAAAUUUAAAAUAUGAUUAGAAAUUUUAAAACAACACUAAAUAUUAUAGGCUUCAAUAUAUAAACUAUAAAGCAUUUACCAAAAACUCAAUAUUUUCAUAGGGGUUAAUCCAUAGAUUUUGAGAAAAUUUCAAAAAAUAUGACAAUAUUGUUUAAUGCAUAGUUGCAUCCUGCAGUAACAUAUAAUGAUGUUCAACGUGGUUUGGAGCCUUUUUGUCUAUGUUUUUCAUGAAAAUAGCGAUUUUAUAGUGGUUAUUCCACCGAUUUUGGAAGUAUUAUGAAGUUUUACUAAAUUAAAUAAUAAAAAAUUAUAAUAAUUCUCAUAUACCAUGAAAUAGAGUUUAACAUACAUUAAUACAAAUGUAGAAUGUGGUUAGAAAUUUUAAAACAACUCUAAAGAUUAUAUGUUUCAAUAUAUAAAGCAUUUAC